UACAGAGGGUGCGAGCGUUAAUCGGAAUUACUGGGCGUAAAGCGCGCGUAGACGGUUUUGUAAGUCAGAUGUGAAAUCCCCUGGGCUCAAACCUGGGGAACUGCAUUUGAGACUGCAUGGCUAGAGUAUCGAAGAGGGAAGUGGAAUUUCCGGUGUAGCGGUGAAAUGCGUAGAUAUCGGAAGGAACACCAGUGGCGAAAGCGACUUCCUGGUCGAAUACUGACGUUCAUGUGCGAAA
rnacentral:rRNA from 1 species